rnacentral:tRNA from 1 species
GCGCUCAUAGCUCAGUUGGUAGAGCGUGCGCGUACAAAGCGUAGGCGGCGUCCAUUGCGUAGGUUCGAAUCCCACUGAGGCU